rfam:Aedes albopictus isolate Foshan contig110226, whole genome shotgun sequence.
GGCUCGGUAGCUUAGUUGGUAAAGCACUUGUCUAGCCAAUAAGGGUCGUGAGUUCAAAUCUCACCUGAGCUG